rnacentral:rRNA from 1 species
AUUGAACGCUGGCGGCAUGCUUUACACAUGCAAGUCGAACGGCAGCGCGGGCUUCGGCCUGGCUGCGAGUGGCGAACGGGUGAGUAAUACAUCGGAACGUGCCCAGUAGUGGCGGAUAGCUCGGCGAAAGCCGGAUUAAUACCGCAUACGACCUGAGGGUGAAAGCUGGGGAUCUUCGGAACUCGCCCUAUUGGACCCGCCGAUGGCAGAUUAGCUUGUUGGUGGGGUAAAGGCCUACCAAGGCGCCGAUCUGUAGCUGGUCUGAGAGGACGACCAGCCACACUGGAACUGAGACACGGCCCAGACUCCUACGGGAGGCAGCAGUGGGGAAUUUUGGACAAUGGGCGAAAGCCUGAUCCAGCAAUGCCGCGUGUGUGAUGAAGGCCUUCGGGUUGUAAAGCACUUUUGGCGGGAACGAAAAGGACUGUGCCAAUACCACGGUUCGAUGACGGUACCCGCAGAAUAAGCAACGGCUAACUACGUG